GGUGACUUUGGAGUGCAUAUUGGGAAGCAAGUUGUUCCUGGAAAGCCAUGAGGGAGAACAAGAUAAGAGAUUAAAAGAUGGCCGUGAUUGCAGUUUCAUAAAGAAGAUAAAAAACAUCAAGCUCCAGCAUCCUCUGCUACUCUUCUCAAACUGUUCAAAUCUUCCCCUUUCUUCAAGUAACAAGACAAGUCCUACCUUCUUGAUAUCUUCUACAUCUUGGCUUGCACUAUGUUGAAUUCAUGAUAGCAAGGAAUGUGGAUAUUUUAAAAUCCUUUUUCCAAAUCAACUCAUGAUCAUGGAUGUCUAAUAAGGUGCAUUCACCUGUGAAAUGGAAGGAACACAGAGAAGAAGUGAUAAAGCAUUGAACAACUCCCAAGACCGAAGACUCUUCCUUGGCUGGUCUUCCUCCCUCAAUAUCCAGCCCUCUGGACCCAGAUUUCUGAUGUUCAGAAAUCCAAGAGUGGCUUACGUGGGUGGUUCUGGCUCAGCAUCUCAAAAGCAGAUGACUCUUCUAAAUAUAUGAAUACAAUUGUGC